UACGGGGGGUGCAAGCGUUGUUCGGAAUUACUGGGCGUAAAGGGCGCGUAGGCGGCCUUCUAAGUCGGACGUGAAAUCCCUCGGCUUAACCGAGGAACUGCGUCCGAUACUGAAAGGCUUGAAUCCGGGAGAGGGAUGUGGAAUUCCAGGUGUAGCGGUGAAAUGUGUAGAUAUCUGGAGGAACACCGGUGGCGAAGGCGGCAUCCUGGACCAACACUGACGCUGAGGAGCGAAAGCCAGGGGAGCAAACGGG
rnacentral:rRNA from 1 species